rnacentral:rRNA from 1 species
GUCAUGCCUCAGGAUGAACGCUAGCGACAGGCUUAACACAUGCAAGUCGAGGGGCAGCGAGGGAGUGGCAACACUUCUGUCGGCGACCGGCGCACGGGUGAGUAACGCGUAUGCAACCUGCCCUUCACAGGGGGGAUAACCGGGAGAAAUUCCGACUAAUACCGCAUACGUCCUCCGGGGGCAUCCCCGGGGGAUGAAAGAAUUAUCGGUGAAGGAUGGGCAUGCGUGAUAUUAGGUAGUUGGCGGGG